CAGUGAGCCACACCAGAGAAACAGCACAGCAGCAGGCCCCAUUUCCUGAAGUUAAUGAUGAUGUCACAUACAGCACUGUCAUCCCCCAGCACAAGGCUCAACUAAAAGUACAGGCCAAGGCAGCAGAACCAGAUGAUAAUGUGGUCUACAGCUCACUAGCUCUACAGGUGACCACACAGGUCAGUGUUGGUGUCUCCUCUGUCUGUUGUACCAGAUGAU